rnacentral:rRNA from 1 species
CCUACGGGUGGCAGCAGUAGGGAAUAUUGCUCAAUGGGGGAAACCCUGAAGCAGCAACGCCGCGUGGAGGAUGAAGGUUUUCGGAUUGUAAACUCCUUUUGUUAGAGAAGAUGAUGACGGUAUCUAACGAAUAAGCACCGGCGAACACCGUGCCAGCAGCCGCGGUAAUACGGAGGGUGCAAGCGUUACUCGGAAUCACUGGGCGUAAAGAGCGCGUAGGCGGGAUAGCAAGUCAGAUGUGAAAUCCUAUGGCUUAACCAUAGAACUGCAUUUGAAACUGUUAUUCUAGAGUAUGGGAGAGGUAGGUGGAAUUCUUGGUGUAGGGGUGAAAUGCGUAGAGAUCAAGAGGAAUACUCAUUGCGAAGGCGACCUGCUAGAACAUAACUGACGCUGAUGCGCGAAAGCGUGGGGAGCAAACAGGAUUAGAUACCCGUGUAGUC